rnacentral:rRNA from 1 species
UACGAAGGGGGCUAGCGUUGCUCGGAAUUACUGGGCGUAAAGCGCACGUAGGCGGAUUCUUAAGUCGGUGGUGAAAUCCUGGAGCUCAACUCCAGAACUGCCUUCGAUACUGAGAGUCUUGAGUCCGGGAGAGGUGAGUGGAACUGCGAGUGUGGAGGUGAAAUUCGUAGAUAUUCGCAAGAACACCAGUGGCGAAGGCGGCUCACUGGCCCGGUACUGACGCUGAGGUGCGAAAGCGUGGGAGCAAACAGG